GAUGAACGCUGGCGGCGUGCCUAAUACAUGCAAGUCGAGCGAACAGAUGAGGAGCUUGCUCCUCUGACGUUAGCGGCGGACGGGUUAGUAACACGUGGAUAACCUACCUAUAAGACUGGGAUAACUUCGGGAAACCGUAGCUAAUACCGGAUAAUAUAUUGAACCGCAUGGUUCAAUAGUGAAAGACGGUUUUGCUGUCACUUAUAGAUGGAUCCGCGCCGCAUUAGCUAGUUGGUAAGGUAACGGCUUACCAAGGCAACGAUGCGUAGCCGACCUGAGAGGGUGAUCGGCCACACUGGAACUGAGACACGGUCCAGACUCCUACGGGAGGCAGCAGUAGGGAAUCUUCCGCAAUGGGCGAAAGCCUGACGGAGCAACGCCGCGUGAGUGAUGAAGGUCUUCGGAUCGUAAAACUCUGUUAUUAGGGAAGAACAAAUGUGUAAGUAACUAUGCACGUCUUGACGGUACCUAAUCAGAAAGCCACGGCUAACUACGUG
rnacentral:rRNA from 1 species